rnacentral:rRNA from 1 species
AGAGUUUGAUCCUGGCUCAGGACGAACGCUGGCGGCGUGGAUAAGGCAUGCAAGUCGAACGCGAACGGAAUAACUAAUUCGUUAGUAGUUCCUAUUAGAGUGGCGAACGGGUGAGUAACACGUGGAUUACAUACCUUUCAGUGGGGAAUAACAUCGGGAAACUGAUGCUAAUACCGCAGAUGUCAUUUCAUUGAUUUUGAUCUGACUAAAGGGGGGGCUCCUUCGGGACCUCUCGCUGAUUGAUUGGUCCGCGGCCGAUUAGCUGGUUGGUGGGGUAAUGGCCUACCAAGGCAACGAUGGGUAGCCGGCCUGAGAGGGUGUCCGGCCACACUGGGAUUGAGAUACGGCCCAGACUCCUUCGGGAGGCAGCAGUCGAGAAUCUUCCACAAUGUACGAAAGUAUGAUGGAGCGACGCCGCGUGUGUGAUGAAGGCUUUAUGAGUUGUAAAGCACUGUCAGAGGGGAAGAAACGUCGUACUAAUAAUAAGAGUACGAUCUGACGUACCCUCAGAGGAAGCUCCGGCUAACUCCGUGCCAGCAGCCGCGGUAAUACGGAGGGAGCAAGCGUUGUCCGGAAUCAUUGGGCGUAAAGGGCACGUAGGCGGUUCGGUAAGUCGAAUGUGAAAUCUCACGGCUUAACUGUGAAACUGCGUUCGAAACUACCAAACUUGAGUACUGGAGAGGUAUGCGGAAUUCCUGGUGUAGCGGUGGAAUGCGUGGAUAUCAGGAAGAACACCGGUGGCGAAGGCGGCAUACUGGCCAAGUACUGACGCUAAGGUGCGAAAGCGUGGGGAGCAAACGGGAUUAGAUACCCCGGUAGUCCACGCUGUAAACGAUGGGUACUAGGUUUUGGGGGUCUCAACCCCUUCAGAGCCGCAGCUAACGCAUUAAGUACCCCGCCUGGGGAGUACGGUCGCAAGGCUGAAACUCAAAGGAAUUGACGGGGGCCCGCACAAGCGGAGGAGCAUGUGGUUUAAUUCGAUGAUACGCGAGGAACCUUACCCGGGCUUAAAUGUAGGUUGCAUUUCCGUGAAAACGGAAUUUCCUUCGGGACCGCCUACAAGGUGCUGCAUGGUUGUCGUCAGCUCGUGCCGUGAGGUGUCGGGUUAAGUCCCAUAACGAGCGCAACCCCUAUCUUUAGUUGCCAGUCCCGGCCUAGUCCGGGAGGGACUCUAAAGAAACUGCCCGCGCAAGCGGUGAGGAAGGUGGGGAUGACGUCAAAUCAGCACGGCCCUUAUGUCCGGGGCUACACACGUGCUACAAUGGCCGGUACAGUGGGCAGCUUGUGCGCGAGCAUUUGCUAAUCCCUAAAACCGGUCUCAGUCCGGAUUGGAGUCUGCAACCCGACUCCAUGAAGCUGGAUUCGCUAGUAAUCGCAUAUCAGCCAUGGUGCGGUGAAUACGUUCCCGGGCCUUGUACACACCGCCCGUCAAGCCAUGGAAGCUGGGGGUACCUGAAGUCCGUAACCGUUAAGGAGCGGCCUAGGGUAAAACCGGUGACUGGGGCUAAGUCGUA